rnacentral:rRNA from 1 species
UACGUAGGUGGCAAGCGUUGUCCGGAUUUACUGGGCGUAAAGGGCGUGCAGGCGGUCUGUUAAGUCUAGGGUGAAAGCUCCCGGCUCAACUGGGAGAGGUCCUUGGAUACUGGCGGACUUGAGGGAGGCAGAGGAGUAUGGAAUUCCCGGUGUAGUGGUGAUAUGCGUAGAUAUCGGGAGGAACACCAGUGGCGAAGGCGGUUACCUGGAGCUUUGCUGACGCUGAUGCGCGAAAGCGUGGGGAGCGAUCCGG